UACGUAGGGUGCGAGCGUUUGUCCGGAAUUAUUGGGCGUAAAGGGCUCGUAGGCGGUUUGUCGCGUCGGGAGUGAAAACACUGGGCUUAACUCAGUGCUUGCUUCCGAUACGGGCAGACUAGAGGUAUGCAGGGGAGAACGGAAUUCCUGGUGUAGCGGUGAAAUGCGCAGAUAUCAGGAGGAACACCGGUGGCGAAGGCGGGUCUCUGGGCAGUAACUGACGCUGAGGAGCGAAAGCGUGGGGAGCAAACAGG
rnacentral:rRNA from 1 species